rnacentral:rRNA from 1 species
UACGAAGGGUGCAAGCGUUAAUCGGAAUUACUGGGCGUAAAGCGUGCGUAGGCGGUUUGUUAAGUCUGUUGUGAAAGCCCUGGGCUCAACCUGGGAAUGGCAAUGGAAACUGGCGAGCUAGAGUCAGGUAGAGGGUGGUGGAAUUCCCGGUGUAGCGGUGAAAUGCGUAGAGAUCGGGAGGAACAUCUGUGGCGAAGGCGGCCCCCUGGGCCGGCCCUGACGCUGAGACGCGAAGGCGUGGGAGCGAAGCGGG